rnacentral:rRNA from 1 species
CAGUAGCCGCGGUAAUACGUAGGUGGCAAGCGUUGUCCGGAAUUAUUGGGCGUAAAGGGCUCGCAGGCGGUUUCUUAAGUCUGAUGUGAAAGCCCCCGGCUCAACCGGGGAGGGUCAUUGGAAACUGGGGAACUUGAGUGCAGAAGAGGAGAGUGGAAUUCCACGUGUAGCGGUGAAAUGCGUAGAGAUGUGGAGGAACACCAGUGGCGAAGGCGACUCUCUGGUCUGUAACUGACGCUGAGGAGCGAAAGCGUGGGGAGCGAACAGGAUUAGAUACCCCCGUAGUCCCUGUCUCUUAUAU